rnacentral:rRNA from 1 species
GCCUACGGGAGGCAGCAGUCGAGGAUCUUCGGCAAUGGGCGCAAGCCUGACCGAGCGACGCCGCGUGUGCGAUGAAGGCCUUCGGGUUGUAAAGCACUGUCGAGGGGGAGGAAGCCGCAAGGUUGACCUAUCCCUGGAGGAAGCACGGGCUAAGUUCGUGCCAGCAGCCGCGGUC